rnacentral:rRNA from 1 species
GUAACCUGCCCUUAACUCUGGGAUAAGCCUUGGAAACGAGGUCUAAUACUGGAUAUUGACUUUACCUCGCAUGGGGUUUUGUUGAAAGAUUUAUUGGUUUUGGAUGGACUCGCGGCCUAUCAGCUUGUUGGUGAGGUAAUGGCUCACCAAGGCGACGACGGGUAGCCGGCCUGAGAGGGUGACCGGCCACACUGGGACUGAGACACGGCCCAGACUCCUACGGGAGGCAGCAGUGGGGAAUAUUGCACAAUGGGCGAAAGCCUGAUGCAGCGACGCCGCGUGAGGGAUGACGGCCUUCGGGUUGUAAACCUCUUUCAGUAGGGAACAAGGCCAGCAUUUUUGUUGGUUGAGGGUACUUGCAGAAGAAGCGCCGGCUAACUACGUGCCAGCAGCCGCGGUAAUACGUAGGGCGCAAGCGUUAUCCGGAAUUAUUGGGCGUAAAGAGCUCGUAGGCGGUUUGUCGCGUCUGCCGUGAAAGUCCGGGGCUCAACCCCGGAUCUGCGGUGGGUACGGGCAGACUAGAGUGAUGUAGGGGAGACUGGAAUUCCUGGUGUAGCGGUGAAAUGCGCAGAUAUCAGGAGGAACACCGAUGGCGAAGGCAGGUCUCUGGGCAUUAACUGACGCUGAGGAGCGAAAGCAUGGGGAGCGAACAGGAUUAGAUACCCUGGUAGUCCAUGCCGUAAACGUUGGGCACUAGGUGUGGGGGACAUUCCACGUUUUCCGCGCCGUAGCUAACGCAUUAAGUGCCCCGCCUGGGGAGUACGGCCGCAAGGCUAAAACUCAAAGGAAUUGACGGGGGCCCGCACAAGCGGCGGAGCAUGCGGAUUAAUUCGAUGCAACGCGAAGAACCUUACCAAGGCUUGACAUGAACCGGAAAUACCUGGAAACAGGUGCCCCGCUUGCGGUCGGUUUACAGGUGGUGCAUGGUUGUCGUCAGCUC